UACGAAGGGAGCUAGCGUUGUUCGGAAUCACUGGGCGUAAAGCGCACGUAGGCGGAUGUGUCAGUCAGGGGUGAAAUCCCGGAGCUCAACUUCGGAACUGCCUUUGAUACAGCACGUCUUGAGUCCGAUAGAGGUGGGUGGAAUUCCUAGUGUAGAGGUGAAAUUCGUAGAUAUUCGCAAGAACACCAGUGGCGAAGGCGGCUCACUGGUCCGGUACUGACGCUGAGGUGCGAAAGCGUGGGGAGCGAACAGG
rnacentral:rRNA from 1 species